rnacentral:rRNA from 1 species
UUAUUGGAGAGUUUGAUCCUGGCUCAGGACGAACGCUGGCGGCGUGCCUAAUACAUGCAAGUCGAGCGAAUCUGAGGGAGCUUGCUCCCAAAGAUUAGCGGCGGACGGGUGAGUAACACGUGGGCAACCUGCCUGUAAGACUGGGAUAACUUCGGGAAACCGGAGCUAAUACCGGAUAAUCCUUUUCUACUCAUGUAGAAAAGCUGAAAGAUGGCUUCGGCUAUCACUUACAGAUGGGCCCGCGGCGCAUUAGCUAGUUGGUGAGGUAACGGCUCACCAAGGCGACGAUGCGUAGCCGACCUGAGAGGGUGAUCGGCCACACUGGGACUGAGACACGGCCCAGACUCCUACGGGAGGCAGCAGUAGGGAAUCUUCCGCAAUGGACGAAAGUCUGACGGAGCAACGCCGCGUGAGUGAUGAAGGUUUUCGGAUCGUAAAACUCUGUUGUUAGGGAAGAACAAGUACCGUUCGAAUAGGGCGGUACCUUGACGGUACCUAACCAGAAAGCCACGGCUAACUACGUGCCAGCAGCCGCGGUAAUACGUAGGUGGCAAGCGUUGUCCGGAAUUAUUGGGCGUAAAGCGCGCGCAGGUGGUUUCUUAAGUCUGAUGUGAAAGCCCCGGCUCAACCGGGGAGGGUCAUUGGAAACUGGGAGACUUGAGUGCAGAAGAGGAAAGUGGAAUUCCAAGUGUAGCGGUGAAAUGCGUAGAGAUUUGGAGGAACACCAGUGGCGAAGGCGACUUUCUGGUCUGUAACUGACACUGAGGCGCGAAAGCGUGGGGAGCGAACAGGAUUAGAUACCCUGGUAGUCCACGCCGUAAACGAUGAGUGCUAAGUGUUAGAGGGUUUCCGCCCUUUAGUGCUGCAGCAAACGCAUUAAGCACUCCGCCUGGGGAGUACGGCCGCAAGGCUGAAACUCAAAGGAAUUGACGGGGCCCGCACAAGCGGUGGAGCAUGUGGUUUAAUUCGAAGCAACGCGAAGAACCUUACCAGGUCUUGACAUCCUCUGACAAUCCUAGAGAUAGGACGUUCCCCUUCGGGGGACAGAGUGACAGGUGGUGCAUGGUUGUCGUCAGCUCGUGUCGUGAGAUGUUGGGUUAAGUCCCGCAACGAGCGCAACCCUUGAUCUUAGUUGCCAGCAUUCAGUUGGGCACUCUAAGGUGACUGCCGGUGACAAACCGGAGGAAGGUGGGGAUGACGUCAAAUCAUCAUGCCCCUUAUGACCUGGGCUACACACGUGCUACAAUGGAUGGUACAAAGGGCUGCAAGACCGCGAGGUUUAGCCAAUCCCAUAAAACCAUUCUCAGUUCGGAUUGCAGGCUGCAACUCGCCUGCAUGAAGCCGGAAUCGCUAGUAAUCGCGGAUCAGCAUGCCGCGGUGAAUACGUUCCCGGGCCUUGUACACACCGCCCGUCACACCACGAGAGUUUGUAACACCCGAAGUCGGUGGGGUAACCGCAAGGAGCCAGCCGCCUAAGGUGGGACAGAUGAUUGGGGUGAAGUCGUAACAAGGUAGCCGUAUCGGAAGGUGCGGCUGGAUCACCUCCUUU